AGCCUUCCCGCCCCGGCUGCGCGGAGCCAUCUCCUCCUUGGCGGCUCGUUAGCGGGCGGCCAUGUGUCUGCAGCUCACACCAGCGGCCCAGCAGCAUCUCCUUCUCCUCUGCCUGGAAUAUUUGUGUUCUACCCCGGGAUCAUCGCCGCUUGGAAAGCCUCUUUCAUACAGGAGACUUACUGAGGGACCAACGGCGUCGAUCUCAGGACCAGCACUGAAUGAAUGCCUCAUUUGACCUUGAUCUAUAAGAUGUUGUGGCCGCUGGAGUAUGGGAAGAAGAAAAGCUCCCUUACCCCAGCUUCCUGUGAAACGAUGCAGCAUUAAGGAAACAAAAGCAAAAAGGGAGAAGAGAAACCCCACUAAGUUUAAAGGAGAACUCUUGAAAGGCCACAAUUAGUUGCAUGCAGGACUGGCAUAUUGCUGCACUGUUGUAGCAAAUAAUGUGCAAAACAGGGACUUUUGAGCCCCGUUUCUGUGAAAAAUGAGCAUUGCUGGGGUAGCAUUUGCCUAGCAGCACACAUGCUUUCUGCAGUUGGUUAGACAAAGGGCAGUGUGAGAGCAUUCAGGGUUUGUGUUAGUUGCAAGCUUUGGUUGGUUGUUGAAAGACAAGCCAGACUCGGGUAACCUUUAGGCUGUCAGACCGCAUGGUCUGUGUGCUAUGAGAGGGCAGUACUCCAGGCUUUUGCUCUGUAGUGGUUAUAACAAGAAUGGCCUGCAAAAUUUUGGAUAAAGCAGACAUUUCCCCACCACAAAGGACAGAUUUAGACAGUGAUCUCAACCUUUCUUUGUCUCUCUGCAAGGCCCUGUUCUCUGAUGGUAACAGAGCACCUGCUCUUGGGGGAAACCUCUCUACGGCUGCGUAAGAAUAGGCAUCUUGCAU